rnacentral:lncRNA from 1 species
AAUUGUUAUAUUAACAAAAUAACCAACAGACAUCGUUGAUGAUGUUCAAAUAAAGGAUAAAGGAAAGUAUAAUUACAGUGGAUGCUCAGUUGCUGAAAUAGGUCAUCAGCUUUUUGGAUUGUGCUAUUUCAGAAAGUAUUUAGACCUUCUUUGGUGGAUUCUGCCUUUGUUUCAUAUACUCUUAUAUCUUUCUCCAUUUAAGUUCUGACAGGGUAAACUAUUUAUUGCAGCUUAAGGCUUGUACUUCAGAAGUCUUUCAGUGCUGAAUCAGCUAGAGGAGACCGGUCACCUCUGUGCAAUUUGGAUAAUUCAGAAGCUCUUAGAAGUCUUGUACGAAGAGUUAUUAAACAGAGUUUAGCAAAGCUAGAGCUGGAGCCAACUGCAUCAGAAAGAUCUAUUAGAUGGGAACUUGGUUCUUGUUGGGUGCAACAUCUACAAAAGCAGGAAACCCUAACAGAUACCAAGUCAAUGAGGUCUGGCGAUGAUAUUGAGACUGAACAUGCUGUCAAAGGUCUUGGGAAGCAAUUUAAAUUUUUGAAGAAGAGGGAGAACAGACCUAACCUUGUUGGCAGCAAUAAUGAGGCUAACGAAGAUGACAAUGGACCGUGCAGCAUGAAUGUGGGAACUAAUGGCAGACAGCAAAGCAAUGGCGAGCUCAAUUGUGAGAUGGAAUUGAAAAAACUAAUUUCUGAAGAAUCCUUCUUGCGAUUGAAAGAAACUGGCACUGGCCUUCAUUCAAAGGUUUCAAAAUCUCAAGUUUGUUUUGCAUUUCAACUGUAAAGUUUGCUACUUUUUGUGUUUUCAUUAUGCUAAAUUUGGUUUGUUUUAUUUUCAUAUGGAACUGGUAAAAUUAAUUUCUUGUGCAGGCAGUGGAUGAGCUUAUGAAAAUGGCAUACAAAUAUUAUGAUGACAUUGCUUUACCAAAGCUGGUACUAUUUAAUUUAUUUAGGGCCUUUGUUGCAGCCAAUUUAGACGUGUGGGGAUGGUUUAUGGACUAAUUUCCAUUCUUUAUUAGGUAACAGACUUUGGAUCACUUGAACUUUCUCCGGUUGAUGGCCGCACACUGACAGACUUUAUGCAUUUAAGGGGACUACAAAUGCGCUCUUUAGGUCGCGUGGUGAGGAAUUUCUCCCUCUCUUUCUCUCUCAGACAUGCAACCUAUUCACCCGUGGAAAUCAGAAUAAACAAAUGUUGUCUUUCUUUAUGUAAACAAAGCCCCUAAGUUAUCUUUCUAUAUGUAAACAAUCUCCCCAAGUCUUCCUGGAUUGAAUUAUCAAUGUUCCUUUUUGAAAAUUGUACUACAUGAUAGAAUUUUUGACAUGGUGACCUUUUCCAAGAUAUUGAAUUAUUGUCGUCUUUAGAUAUUACUGUAUGUUGUAUGACAUACAAUAUUUUGAGAAAUUGACAUGCUAAUACUUGAAAGCCUGGUAUUCUUCUUCUGUUGGUUCUAAUCCCAUUUACAAAUUCAGGUUGAACUUGCAGAGAAGCUUCCUCACAUACAAUCACUUUGUAUUCAUGAGAUGGUUACUCGAGCGUUCAAGCAUGUACUUAAAGGAGUCAUCGCAUCUGUUGACUAUUUAUCAGACCUAUCUGCAGCUAUAGCUUCUUCCCUAAAUUUCUUAUUUGGCUGUUGUGAGAUGGAAGAUGAGCAAAGCUUGAAUGAAGAUCAUAUCCUUAGAUUGCAGUGGCUACGAACAUUUCUUGGCAGAAGAUUUGGUUGGUCCCUGAAAGACGAGUUUCUGCAUUUGAGAAAGAUUUCAAUUCUACGUGGGCUUUGCCAUAAGGUAAGGUACUGUCUUUUCGGUUCCUUUGGCAGCGGAUUAUUUUCAAAGCUUGAAUUUUGCUUGUAAACUUUACCCAGGUUGGGUUGGAGUUGGUUCCAAGAGAUUAUGAUAUGGAAUGCCCAAACCCAUUCACGAGAGAUGAUAUUGUCAGCAUGGUUCCUGUGUGCAAGGUGAGACUAUUUUCUCUCUUAAUUGUGUUUUGAUUUAGUUUUUACAUUCUCAAUGAGUCACUCAUUUGUAAAUUGAAUGUAAUUGUGCUAUUUUUAUGGCAUUCUACAGCAUGUAGGUUGCACUUCAGCUGAUGGGCGGACUUUAUUAGAGUCAUCCAAAAUUGCCCUUGAUAAAGGAAAACUAGAAGAUGCUGUAAAUUAUGGGACAAAGGUAAUAACCCACUCGAUCUAUACGUAAGAAUUACAUUAUUCUUUUCAUAAUAAGGCAUCUCUUGAUCUCAUAUGAUGUAUUACUUGCAUUGUAAGGCACUGGCAAGGAUGAUAGCUGUUUGUGGUCCCUACCAUCGGACUACUGCAAGUGCUUACAGUCUUCUAGCUGUAGUUCUCUACCAUACUGGAGACUUUAAUCAGGUACGACAAUCUUCAGUUGUAUUUCAGUGUUAACUUGGUGAUUCUAAGUCGAGUAUAAUUAUAACGUCCUUCUGUACGGAGAUUCUCAUUCAGUGGGACAUUUGAUUUGAAACUGUGUUAUGGCUAGUUUUUAUGGUCUUGUAUAAAGAUAUGCAUUAGAAAUUAUAAUUUUCUGGACUUAGGAAUUACAUGGACAGGCAUUAGCAUGAUUUUGAUAUCAGAUUAUAUAUUUUAACUAAAUCAAACACGUUCAUAGUUCUUAUGUUCUGGCAUUUGGUCUAAUGGCAUCUGCGUCUGAGUGUGAGAGUGGCGUUCGUAUGUACUCAAGAUAUCUUCUUCUUCAUUUUAGGCAACUAUAUAUCAGCAGAAGGCAUUGGAUAUUAAUGAGAGGGAACUUGGUCUUGACCAUCCAGAUACAAUGAAAAGCUAUGGGGAUCUUUCAGUUUUCUAUUAUCGCCUUCAACACAUUGAAUUGGCUCUUAAGUAAGUAGCACUGCUUGAUUUACCAGAGCAACUUUGUGAUUUUCAUUCUUUAACUGAUUAAGGUUUAUUUAUUUAUAAAUUAAAUUGGAAGUUUCAAAAAAUGUGACCUUUGUAUUGAAUCUGCUUCGAACGAAUGCAGUUUUUAUCUACCUACUUUAGCUUUCAUUUGUCUUUUAUUGGCUCUAGCUCCUGAUCAUACCGUACCAUUGGCAGAUAUGUAAAUCGUGCCUUAUUCCUUUUGCAUUUUACUUGUGGACUUUCACAUCCAAACACGGCUGCAACAUACAUAAAUGUGGCUAUGAUGGAAGAGGGCAUGGGAAAUGUUCAUCUUUCUCUUAGAUAUUUGCAUGAAGCCCUUAAAUGCAACCAAAGACUAUUAGGAGGUGACCAUAUACAGGUUUUUCUCUCUCUAUUUACGCAUGUAUACAGACUCUUUAGAAUUAUAAAUCUUUCUGUUAACUCAGAAUUUUGUUUGAUUUCUUCACGUGACAGACAGCUGCAAGUUAUCAUGCCAUAGCCAUAGCUCUUUCUUUGAUGGAGGCAUAUUCACUAAGUGUGCAACAUGAGCAAACUACACUUAAGAUUCUCCAAGCAAAGCUUGGACUAGAAGAUCUGCGUACUCAGGUGACUACAUGUAGUCAUAUUUUAAUUGGUUCUGUUGUGCAAUUUGGCUAGUUGGCUUCUUUCUUGUCAAUCUUUUACAGGUGAUAUUAUGAUAUAAAACAAAUUGUAUUGGAGGCAUAUUUUUGGUGUCAAAUAUGGAUAUGACUCAUUCAUUAAUUGUAUCGAAAUAUCAAAAUACGGAUAUGACCCGUUUAUUAAUCGUGUUGACUUGUUUAAUAUUAAAUACAAACAAAUUAAAAAUUAAUUUUAAAAUAACAAAUGUGUCAAAAAAAUGAGUUAUAAAUAAGUGAAAAUGACAUAAGUAUGACAUGAAUAAGUUUAUAACAUAAUGUGAGUAUGACAUGAGUCAUUAAUUUAGUGUUUAGUAUAUAUUUUAGUUUUUUUUUUCCAAUAAUAUUAACACAUAAUAAUUGAUAUUUGUGUUAUAAAUGUAUAAUCAUAUUGAGAUGGUCCAAAACAGAUACGACAUGGUUAUUUAUCGUGUUGUGUCAACUCAUUUAUUAAUCGUGUCAAUAUUUGUCAACACGAAUAUGGGUCAUAUGUCAUAUUAUGUUGUGUAAUCGUGUCGUAAUCCAUUUUGCCACCUCUAAUCUUAACUGUCAUAAGAGAAUUUCUCAAGUUCCAUAUUAUUGAUGGGAAGAGAUUUUUGUUAUUUUGUUGUAUUUUUUUUCGUUUUACAGGAUGCUGCUGCAUGGCUGGAGUAGUUUGAAUCAAAAGCUCUAGAGCAGCAAGAAGCGGCACGGAAUGGAACUCCAAAGCCAGAUGCGUCCAUUGCGAGUAAAGGUCACCUUAGGUAUUAACAGGGUAUUCCCACAUUACUUGUUUCUAAAUUGUUGAUUAUUUCUUGUGGCACCAAGACCUAUAAUGAUCGCUUUUUGCAGUGUGUCAGAUCUCCUGGAUUACAUUAGUCCUGGUCAAGAUUCUAAAAGAAGCGAAGCACAUAGGAAACAACGACGUGCAAAGGUAGUAUAUACUUAGUGCCUGUUUAGUAUGACUUAUCUAAUAGUCAUAAAUUUUUAUUUAAUCCCAUAAGCUGUUAUCAAUUUUUUUUUUUGUUUAAUUGUUUUUUUCGUAGAGCUCUUGAAAAUUAAAUAAGUUAUUUUGCCUCUACUACCAAAAGCUCGAAUUUUGUGCUUUUGAGAGUAGAGGUUAAAAAGUUUUUUUUAAAUCUUAAAAUAUCUAAAAUAUUUUCUACUUAUUUGAUAAUCUUAUUUUAUUCUUUCCAAAACAUAACUUUAAAAAAUUUACUUAUUAAAGUAAUUUUAUAAUUUUUAAUAAAAGCUCUUAUUGACAACCAAACAACACAAAUUUUUUGGGUAAAAACUUUACUUAUAAAAUCUUUACUAACAAAAGCUCUACUCAGAUAAGAUCUAUUUGAAAAGCUAUGUCAAAUGAAGCAUUAAGCCUGCUGCUGUUCUCUGUUCCUUUUUUCUUGUGAUGUCAUCUGAAUGGAUUCUUAAACUAAUUGUAGUUAGGAUUUGGUAUUUUAGAGUACACUCUGCUGGCUGCAUAUAGUUUUGGAUUUGCUGAUGACACGAGUAAACUUGUUGGCCAUGCAAAAUGCAACUAUAUAUCUGCAGGAUAAUAGUUCUACUUUUCUGAGUGAACUCUGAAGGCACCAAUUAUAACAUCCAUUUCCAGCAUAGAAUCCCCUGCCCAACAAAAAGAAAUCUAACAUGCUUAUACAGAUCGCAGACAUGAUUGAAACUUCAGAAGUUUCUGAUCUAUUGAUGGCCAUAGAUUGGGCCAGCUGAUAGUUAGUAGGCAAUGAUGGAGGGUUGCUUGGUCAAGCUGCUAGUUCUUUGGAAAUUCAGAGAUGAUGAGCAGAACGAGUGAUAGUUUUUGUUUUCCCCCGUAAUCAUGAACAGAGUGGGAAGAAACCAUUAAUUUGAAGUGCAAUGGAUGGAUAUGACAGAUCUAUCAUUUUGGCUAGUAGAUGGAGUUCUUCCAUUCUACUGUUAUUUAAUGGUUGUUUUUAUUGAUUCUAGAAAAACAUUUUUCGAUUUGGCAGUUGGAGUUUUGCCCUUUUUUUUUUUCUCCCCAUUUUGUAGGCCUUGGAGAACCAAAUAAUACUACAUAUUAGAUAGACAGGAUUAUUAUGUGCUAAUUUGAAGUAUUACCUGGUUGACAAUUUAAGACACUAGUAAAGUAUUUUGCUAUGAUUAUUUUUUUUUUGAGAAUUCCUUGAUUCAAAAGGCCGAAGAAUUUCAUUAGUUUAACAUAGUAUAUAUUAGCAUAAUUUCUCACUGAGUGUUUUUUUCAACAUUUCAGGCAUGUACAUAUCAAAUUCCCAUUAUGUUCCACUGAAUUCUGCCUCAUGUUAUGUCCGGAUUUGUUGUAAUAAAUUUUGCUACUGUAAAAUUACAAGAUGAUUGUAACUUAAAAUGAACUAUUUCUAUUUGCUCAAUUUUUGACAUUUUAUAUGCAUACAAGUUAAAAAGGUUUUGUUUAUUUUUAUUUUUUUUAUUUUUUCAGGUAAUGCAGAUUAGGGAAAAGAUUCAUGGAGCACAUCAUGAUAUGAUGGUGGAAGAUGCACUGCCCCAUGAUGGAUUGAAAAAGAGUAUGACUAUAGUGGAAAGCAAGACCGAGGAAGUAAUAGAAGACGGUGNNNNNNNNNNNNNNNNNNNNNNNNNNNNNNNNNNNNNNNNNNNNNNNNNNNNNNNNNAAAAAAAAGAAUAUAUAAGGCUUUUGAGGGGUGGCAAGAAGCCAAUCCAAAAGGUAGGUCAGGAAAUGCUGCUGUUCGGAAGCUCAACCGGAGGCGACCUGUUCUUACAAAGCUAAAUGUCAAUGGUUGUGAACAUUCAAAUCUUAGAGAAAAAGGCAAUAGACGGGAAAUUGUAUCUCCAGCACGGGAAAAAGCUUCAAGGACCACCACCACUGAGUUAACAGGCAAGAAGGAUUCAAGUAAAUUGCAGGCAAAAGCUUCUGUCUCCGAAGUUUAUGCAAGUCCACCAAACCUUACUGCCAUGGCUUCCAAGUCGCUGUCUUACAAAGAAGUAGCUGUGGCACCACCAGGUACGGUUCUAAAGCCAUUACCAGAGAAACCUGAUGAAGAAAUUGAAGAAAAAACUGAAACACAGAUGUGCAGUAAUGCUCCUGAGACAUCAAAGGCGGAGUUGAAUAACCAUUUCUCUCCCGUUGAAGAUGCGCCAGUUGAUGGUCAGUCUCAAGAAACUCGUGGAAGUGUAACUCAAUCUGAAACUACUGCUGCAGAUACCGGGGAAGUUCCUUCUUCUUCUAAUGAGGAAAAGCCCAUGGAAACAAAUGGGAGUAAGCUUUCUGCCACAGCUGAACCAUUCAACCCAGGAGCUGUCUCCAUGACUCAUCUGCUACACUCUGUAGCAGCCACGAGUAUUUAUGAUCCGAGAACUAGUCAAGGUAUGCUUGCAGAACCUGCUGUACCUUCGGCUGCUGCUAGAGUUCCUUGUGGGCCAAGGUCGCCUCUCUAUUAUAGAAAUAAUUAUUCUUACAUUAUGAAACAUGGAUUUCCAAAAUACCACUCUUCCAUUAUGGAAAGAAACCUGUUGGGGCCUUCAAGAAUCAUGAACCCGCAUGCACCCGAGUUUGUGCCAAUGAGAGGUUGGCAAAUAAAUCCUGGAUAUGCACAUUCAACUGUUUCAAAUGAGUCAAACUCUUCAAAUGACACAAGUGAGGCAGACGAUGAGAAACUUGACAAAAUGUCCAGUAUUCAAGGCGAGGAUAAUACCUCAAGAAAGAGCAGUACAGAGGCGGAGAAGUCAGAGCUGGCAAGACAGAUACUACUUAGCUUCAUUGUAAAGUCAGUCCAGCAUAAUAUGGAUGCUCCAAGUCAUUCUUCAGGCUACGAAAAGAAGAUUGGGUAUUCAGAAAAUUCUUCAGAUGCAAUUGCAAAUGAUAGUGCUAUCAUAAAGAUCCUUUAUGGAAAUGAAAAGGGCAAAACAAACUUGGCAUCUCAGUCCAAUGAUCAAGAACAGCAAAAACCCAAAGAGGAAAACCAAAAAAGUGGGGAUGGUGAAGGAUUUAUAGUUGUCAGAAAACGGAGAAGAAACCGACAGCAGAUCACAAAUGGGGUAACUGAGAUGUACAAUCAUCAAUCCAUCUGUGCUUCUGUUCGUUAAAAGAGAGAGCAAAGCAAUAAAAUGCAAAGGUGCCGUCCUGUUUCUCCCAAUUUUAUUCGAAAAAUUUGUUAGUGAAUGUUACCGUUGUAGAGAUGGUUAAAGUUUGGAGCAAGUUUUAAUCAAUACUUGAUUGUAUCAUUUUAGAUAUCCUCUCUGGAUGUUCUAAUAUAAUAUUUGUACAAAUCGGUUUCUUGUUUUGUUAAGAGAUUUUGUUUUGAUCAAUAAAUGAUGAUAAAUUAAUUGGGCGAUUUUCCUCAUCAAGAGAUCUGUGAUGUUGUUCUAUAAUGGAUUUUAAUGUUUUAGACUGAGAUUUGUAGUUAUGCCUCAAAUUAUUUGGUAUUUGGUUGGUGCGUGUGAACAAUACGUUCGGAAUGGAGUUGAAUUGACCCACUGAUAGAUAGCUUACAUUUGCAGCUGAAGUUGCUGCACUGAUGAUAUUACAACUGACAUGGUAGGCAAAAUUCCUUAUUCAAUUUAAAUUUGCAAUCAACAGAAACUGAAGAAGAAGCCGUAAGUUUAAUCCUAAUGGAUGCAUAGCUGUUUGGAGAAAAGCCAAUGGAGACAUAACAAAGCACGAUAAGUUAUACACGGCAGAACGGUAUGUGCUAGUAAGCACAGUCACCGAUGGAAAACAUAUUUGAAAAGCCAAUAGUAGCAUGUGUCAAUACAUCUAUCAAUGAAAUAGAACCACAGUCUGCGCCAGUACGAGUUUAUCCAAAGUGCUGCAAGUAAACCCAAAAUCACUGACACAUAGGAUGCUCCAAAACUCCAUCUUAAUGCCACCAUGUCAAUCACAGAAUCGCCUUCAUCUUCUCCUCCUCCUGUAGGUGUCGCUGGUGGUGCCAACGCGCUGCUGCAUUUCCUCUUUAUCAUUGAGCCACAAAGAGCCGAAUUACCUUUAUAACUGCUGUCAUCAAAGGUGGCAAACUGCUCUUUGUCCGGGAUUGGGCCGGACAAAUUGUUGUAUGACACGUUGAAGUUUGAUAAAAAGUUGAGCUCAGUUAGUUGAGGAAUUCGGCCACUUAAUUUGUUGCGGGAAAGGUCCAGGCUCUCUAUCAUUUUCAGAUUGGAGAAGCUCUCUGGUAUAGUGCCUGAUAGUAAAUUAUUGGACAGAUUAAGUGCACGAAUAUGUUGAAGAUGCCCAAUUUCCCAUGGAAUUUCUCCACUGAACUCAUUGCUCGACAAAUCCAGUCCAGCCAUGUCGUCGAGAUUGAGACCAAUGAAAAAUUCAUAUCUAUACUUUGUCACAAAUUCUACACCUACUGGUUGAUCUAGUCCACCAUGUAGUUCACCUGGCGGCAGCAGAUGAAGAGUGGAAUUGUAGUAAGUAGAAGCGGAAUCACGAUUAGACAUAGCAAAUUCAUAUUCAAAUGAACCAUCAUCAAUCGCUUCCCUCCCGAAUGAGAUGUUACCCAGGCAUGAAGGUAUCGGCCCAUUAAGUCUGUUAUGUGAAAGAUCCAUGAUACCUAAUUUUCUUAAUUGGCACAACUGAUUAGGAAUACGUCCUUGUAGAGAAUUCCCUCUCAAAAGAAGAAAAUGCAAAUUCGAAAGCUCAUUGAUCUGAUGAGGAAUCCUACCAAAAAAUUUAUUGUCCCUCAAAUCGAGAGUCAAUAAUGUAGAGCUUCUAAGCAAUGCAAUUGGAAUUAACCCAUUAAUUGCAUUGUUAUGCAGAUAAAUGUGCUUCACUGAUGAAAGAUUGGAGAGAGAUACCAUGGACCCAGACAAACCAUUUUCGGAGAUGUCUAUAAACUCAAGACUUUCAAGAUUGCCGAGCUGGACCGGAAUACUACCUUGCAAAUAAUUUUCUGACAUUAAAAGAAGCCAAAGGACUGAGAAGUUGCCAAUCCAGUGGGGAAUAUCGCCGGAUAACUUGUUGUUGGAUACAUCUAAUACAUCCAGCAAAGUGGAGCUCAACAAACCAUCUGCCAUUUUCCCACUGAAAUGAUUGUUGUUCAAACGUAAUGAACUCAAAUGAGUCAAGUUCAUAAAAUUGGGAAAAAGUUGGCCAUAGAAAUUGUUAUUUGAUAGGUCCAACGUUUCUAAGGAGAGGCAACUAGAGAAUAUAGAUCGAGGUAAUUCUCCUGAAAAAUUAUUUCUAGACAAAUCCAAAGUAAUUAGCUCUUUCAUCUCACUGAUUGAAUAAGGAAUAUUACCUUCAAAACUAUUUUUUGACACAUCCAAAUAUAUCAAUUUCUGAAAGACAAUACCCAAAUUCUCUGGUAGCUUACCAGAAAAAUUGUUAGUGGAAAUAUCUAGAUGACGAAGCUUGUCGUAUUUGGCAUUGGGAAGUCGCGGAAGAAUUCCCGAGAAUGAGUUAUUCCACAAAAUCAAAACUUCUAAUCCUGUGUUGUUUUGCAACAACCAAGUUGGGAAAUUGCCAACCAACUGAUUGUGAGAGAGAUCAAGGAAUUUUAAGUGGUGUUGGUGUAAAAGAAAACUACUAUUGACAUUUAAGUGGCAGUGAGAUAAUUGGAGAACCUUGAGAGGAUAUGUGGGGAGCCAGUUUUCGGUUUUCACUUGCAACAUAUCGUUUCCUGACGAGAGUACCAAGACCUCAAGCUUUGAAUGAUUAGCCAAUGAAUUUAUUAAGAAUGUUCCUUGGAAAUCGAUGAAAGAGAGAUCCAAAUAUUCAAGUGAUGUGAGGUUGGUCAAGACAGAAGGAAAGUUUCCACUUAACUGAUUGUAAGAAAUAUCAAGAACUUUAAGAUGGGUCAAGUUGUUGAGACACUGAGGAAGAUGACCCUCAAAAUUAUUUGAGCUUAAAUCCAACUCAAGAAGAUUCUUCAAAUUACAUAUUCCUAAAAGUGAAAAUAAAAAGCUCAGAUUUCAUAAAACGAAAACUAAUUAUAGCACAUUCAAUCAUAAACCCAAUAUAAGACUUAUAAAACGGACAUGAAAUCAAAUUGUCUAAGUAUUUUGGUCAACAUAAAUAAUAAUAGAAUGAUAUGAAUUUAUUUCUCAUAUAAUAUGAUGUUGAUUGCAAAAGCGUUUCAAUUAAUCUAACAAUAAAAAAGAAAAUAAUAAUAAAAAUAUAAAAGCAGUCAGCAAUUCUUGCUCAUCGUAAUCCAUUCAAUAAGCGUUUCAGCAAUUCUCGUUGUUUAAAAUAAUGAUUUUCUGCGGAAGAGUUUGUUGACUUCGUCUUUUUCGUUGGAUAUUGGUUUUCUAAUCUCUAAAUUUGUUGGAUAAUGUAAAGAGAAACUCAUAAUAUAUUGGUUGCUUUCUUAAACUUUAUUUAAUUUCGUCGAAGUACUUCGACCAACAAGUCACUGGGAAGUAGGAAUUGUGUAAUCAGUAAUGCAAAUAUUGGGUGCGUUGGUAUUGUUUUUAUAUGCUGUUUUUUAUUUUUUGAAUUUAGAAAAUAUUAGAUACGUGUUCGGUAGAUUGUUUCUGAAUUUUUUUAAAAAAUAUAAAAUUCAUUCUACACAUUUUAACAAAAGAAAUGAGAAACAACUUUUUCUUAUUUUCCUUAUUUCCCAAUACAAUAUUAAGUUCCAAAAUGAAGAAUUCUCUUUACCUCCUCCUGAAAUAAUAAUAAUAUCAACAUUAUUAUUAUUAUUAUUAUUAUUCUUGUUGUUGUUGUUGUUGUUGUUGUUAUUGUUGUUCUUGUACCCAAAGAAUCAAUUUCCCUCACAAUAAUCUUUUCUUUUUAUAUACAUUAUAAUAUUUAUGUUUUUAUAUUAACUAAAUCAAAUAUGUAGGGUUUAUCAUUUUUCUUUGAACAAAAAAAAUAGAAAGAUCACCUAAUUUAUUCUUAAAAUUAAAAUAAUCAAUAUACAUUGCUUAAUCUUAAGUUUAUGGAAAUUAUUCCAAUAAUAAUUCUUUGAGACAUUCUUACCAAACAUAUUUGUUUUCUCAUUUUUGAGAUUAUUUUUAAAAUGAUACUGAACACAUUUUUAAAUUUUAAAAAUAAAUUUAAAAAUAGCAUUUUCAUUUUUUUUGUGAAAACAACAAUUAGAAAACAAUAUUGGGCUCUUAUUUAUCAUGUUUCAACAUAAAAACACAAUGUAAAUGGUUUAAUAUGGGUUUCUAGAGAAUUUUUUAUAUUACUAUUACUCAAAUUCAAUGCUUCCAAGCUUUUGAAUUUAGCUAAUCUUGCAUCAAGAAUUAAUGAACAUAAGGAAAAAAAAAUUUAUUCAGAACUAUAAAUAUUGAAAUAAAGAUAAAUAUCAUUGUUGAUUUUUUUGUAAAAAAAGAUUUAGAAUUAAGAGAGAGUGAAAGAAAUGAGCGGGUUAUGUCGGAAAUUGGUGAUAGAGUAUGUCAAGUACUAAACUUUGUAUAGAAAGCAGUGCUUCUAAUUUAAAUUUGAUCUAGUUUAAAGCAAUUAAAAAAUGCAAAUAUAUUAUCAUCUUGAUUAACAUCUAAAACAAUUUUUGUCAUUGGAGGAAGUGAGUUGUUAUAUACCUUGAAUUGUAGUUAUCCCACAAGAAUGAAGAUCCAAUGCUUUCAAAUUUGGCAAAUCUGCCAAUCCUACAUGCGCUAAUAAAAAAUGAAAAUAUUACAUUUAAAGGUAUUGUAUGUGAUCUGCACGUUUGAAGAAUAUUAAUUCUUAAUUUGCUUCUUAUCUCAGAUUCAAUGGCUUACCUAGCGUUGUCAAAUUUUGAUUUAAGCUUAAAUCCAACACUUGCAGGUUUGUCAAAUUUGCUAAUCCUAUUAAAAAAAAACAUAAAUUUUGUCAAUAAUAGUUACAUCACUCUCGUCUAAAUUGUUUAAUUAAAAUAAUAUGAUAAAUAUUAAAUGAAAAUUAAUUGUGCAAAUUGUUUAAUUAAAAAAAUUGCCUUCUAAAGAACUGUGUAUAUAAUAAUUAUAACUCAAAUCCAACGUUUCCAAGCUUUUUAAUUUAGCUAAUCCUGCACCAAGAAAGAAGAAAACUUUUAUUAAUCAUCUUUGGAAAAAAAAAAAGAAUUAAGAUUAAGAAACAAAUUUCAAAGUUAGAUUAAAUAAUUGUAGUAAUAAAGCUUAUGAUGAUUAAGAUAUAAUUAAAUUGAUCAUAUACUCAAAAAUGAUUUUAUUUUAUUUUAUUUUUUAAUUUUACUAAGAAAUUAGAAAGUAAAUUUUUGUCGUGUACCAAUUAUAGUCAAGUUUGUCAAGUUUUCCAGUCAAAAAUUGCUUUUAAUUUGACAUUAUACAUAUGUAAAAAUUAAAGCCAUAAUAAUAUCACAAGGAAUUUGGGUAGUGACUUGUUGCCGUGUACCUUGAAGUGUAGUUAUUCCACAACUACCAAGAUCCAAUUCUUUCAGGUCUGUCAAAGAUAAUCCUAUACCAACGAAAAGCAAACUAUUACUUUUAAAAUUAUUGUAGAAGGUUGUGAUUAGUGUGCUAACUUGGUAGUUAUCUCAGUAGCCUACCUAGCCUUGUUAAAGAGCCACUAGUUAUAUUGCGGUUCCCGCUUAGAUCCAACACUUGCAAGUAUCUCAAAUUUGCUAAUCCUGCUUAGAAAACAUUAAUUUUGAUCAAGACAAUAUAAAUAUAUAUUUUAAUUAAUAAAUUAAUUAAGUUGCCUGACAUGUAUAUCUGCUGGCUUGAAACGUAUAUGUAUACCUUGCUUGGUUCUGGAACCUUCAAUCUUAUUGUAACGAAGAUUCAGAGUGGUAAGUGAAGUUAGUGUAUUCAAAUAUGGUAAUAUGCUGUCGAUGAAGAAAUUAAAACCAAGAUUUAAGAUCUUUAGCUGCUUCAAACUCCCAAAGCUAUCGUAAGCUGCAAAUGCAUAUGAAGUGUUAUUUUUAAUUAGUCACUGACAAAAUAUUUAUGGACGAGAAAUAAAUGUAUACAUAUAUACGGACCUCUAUUCUCACAGAAGCCUGUAAACCCAUUCCCAGGUAAGUCGAGCCUUUGCAAUUCUUUGAAAGGAUGAAACAAUGACAUAUUCAGAAGCGAAGCCGAAGUUCCAUCAUAAUAAUUCAAUCUCUUUGUAUAAUUGAGUGAGAGUUGCAUCACGCGUCGUGUGGUGGCGUUGCACAUAACUCCCUCCCAAUCAUCACAACAAUCAGACGGCAUUCCAUCAUCCUCACCAACCCAUGAAGGAAGAAUUUUGUCAUCAUAUCCAAUAUCACUGACUAAUGAUAUGAAGAAGCUCUUGAUUUCCAACAGAGCAGUCCUCUCUGUUUCCAAGCAUCCUUUGUAUCCAUGAAUUUCAUCCAUCGAUACAAUAAUCCAAAUUAGUGACAUUAAUGAGAACUUAAUACAGGAAGUACUUUCCAUUGUAGAGCAACUUUUCAUUUGGUUAAAAUUAAAUGUGCAAUGAGCAACUUUCCAUUGCAGAGCAAUUUAUACUAAAAGUUUAUCGUAGGUCUUGCAAUUUGAUUGGCUGAAGACUUUUUUAAGACUUUCCAAUACAUUGCCAUCUUUGAAGACUUGUAAGCACUUCAUUAAUACCCCGUGGAAAAUAUAGAUAAAGUGAUUGUAAACUAUAAAUUUUUGUAAUAGUUUGAUGGAGAUAAUCAUAACUAAUAAAAAAAAAGUUGACCGAGAGAAUUUAAAUAAUUCAACCAUAUGUUUGGAUUUCCAUUGCAUUAUCAGUCAAUCUAUUAAAUAAUGUGUUUUGAGAAGAAUUUGAUUGGAUGUUUGAUAAGUUUAAAUUAAUUUAUUAGAAAAUCAAUAAUUAAUCAACAUAAAUCUUCGUAUAUGUUUAGUUAGUGUGGCGUUGUCUGAAAUGACAAAAAACAUAAAUGUUAUUUGAAGCUCUUGUGACCCUUUGUGUUCAUGCAUUUGAAUCAAAGCUGUACUAAAAUCAAAGAUAUUGGGCAUCCUUAAUAAGGAAAGUUUCCAUUGCUCUCAGUCUGCACUCUUCAUUACUAUUGCAAUCACUUGAAAUGACUAAAACAGAAAUUUCGUAUGAACUUGGGACAGCUGCACGGGUCCAAUUUAAAUGACAACUACGUGGAAAAUAAAAAUUUUGCAUAUAUUAUUACAACUACGUGGAAAAUUAAAGUUGACUGACUUUCAAAUUAAGCCAACAAACAAGUGGCCAUCAACUCUUUUUCCACUAACAAUUAGUGGCGACGGUCAAUACUAUAAAAUAAAAGUUGACUAAGAAUUUAUGUAAUUUAAGAGUAUGAUUGGCCUUUUAUUGAAUAUUAUGAUUGGGUUUGCACUGAAUUAUCAAAAAAUCUAUUCAACGAUUUAUAUUCUAAAAUAUUUAGUGAGUUUAGAAAAUUAUUUUAUUAGAUUUUUGUUAAUUUUUUUUAUUAUUAUUAGAUGGCCAACAAUUAAUCAAGUAAUUUUCCAUAUAUAUUUGAUAAUUUACUCAUAAAAGCGUGGACUACAUUCAAAUGGCAUUUUAUAUGAUGUGUGAUAUAUGUAGAGGUGAAAUUUAAAUAGGCUUAAUUUUAUAAAUAAAUACAUAUGUAUUGCAGCAUUCAAUCAUUGUGUUAAAGCGCCAAUCACGGUGACCACCAAAACCUAUGAAUGAUUAGUCCAUCGAAACCCAAUGUAUGCUCAAUUAAUAUUUCCUAUCAAGAUCAAAUUUUUCGCUCUAUUGCUUCAACAAUCAUGAGCAUAAAAGCUCGAUUUAUACAAAAAUUACGAAUUUAUGAAAAAAAAAAGUCACAUUUAUUAUAAUAUGAAGUUUGAUUGAUUUUUAAAGAUUGAUUCAAUCAAUCUUAAUGUUACUGGACAAUCGAUCUUAAUGUUAAUUCAAAAUCAAUCUUUAUUUCGAUGGGCACAGAUAAAGAUAAUUAGUUUUGGUCUCUAUAAUGACUGACGAAGACUUGUAGGACCUGGACCAAUGAGGAAAAACACUUUCAAAUUAAGCCAACAUACAAAUGGUCGUCAAUUCUAUUUUUUACAAAAAUUGAUGGAGAUAGUCAACUAAUAAAAUAAAAGUUGAUUGAGAUAAUUUAAAGAAUGUAGGCAUAAGUUUGGCUUUUAAAUUGUCAAAUAAUUUAUUCCACUAUUGAUACUUAAAAAAGUGCUUUGGAAUUAAUAAUUCAAUAGGGUGUUUGAUAUAUUGGAAUUCGUGAAAAUCAAUAAUCAACUAUUUUUUAUACAUGUUUAGAAAUUUAUCCGGUGUGUAUAGGGGCUUGUAUAUUUCACAAUAAACAUGAAUUAGUACAUCCAUUGAUUGACGUAUAAUUAUAAUCAUAUAAUCAAACACGCACACUACAAGGCGACCUUCGAUUGACGUAUUCUGUGAACUAACCCGUGGGAGAUGGAGGAUGUCUUAACGUUAUAAAAAAAAAUUGAUGAAUAAUAUAGUUCCAGGCAGUGCUAAAACCAUAAUGUACGCCAGUAUGAGUUUAUCCAAAGUCACCGGCUACACCAAUAUCAUUGUGACAUAGUAACAUUCUUGUCCCAUUGAGUGAGAGUUGCAUCACCCGUCGUGUGGUGGCGUUGCACUCAACUCCCUCCCAGUCAUCACAACAAUCAGACGGCAUUCCAUCAUCAACCCAUGAAGUAAGAAUAACGUCUUCAUAUUCCCUAUCACUGAUUGAUAUAAAGAAGCUCUUGAGUUCCAACAGAGCAGUCCUCUCUGUUUGCAAGCAUGCUUUGUCUCCAUGCAUUUCAUUCAUCAAAAUAAUAAUCCAUAUUAGUGAAAUUAAUGAGAACUUGACAAAGGAAGUACUUUCCAUUGCAAAGCAACUUUUCAAUUGGUUAAUAUAAAAUUUGCAACGAGGAAACUUCGAUAUUUAUACUAAACAUUUAUCAUCAUGGACCUUGCAAUUUGAUUGGCUGAAGAUUUCCAACCACCCAACCUAACGAAAAUGAAACAUCUUAGAGAUAUCAAGUAAUAAAAAUACUUGAUUAUCUUAUUUUUGUUUUAGAGGGUUAUUAAAGACAAAACAUUGUCAAUACAUUAUAACAUCGCUAUCUUGAAGUCUUUGUCUUUUAGUGAAGACUUGUAAGCUUGAAAUUACAUAUAUAUUGCAACAUCGACCCAGGAGAAAAAGAACUUCACUAAUACUCCGUGAAAAAUAAAAUUAAAGUUCACUGACUCUCGAAUUACGCCAACAAACAAGCGAGUGCAAACUAUAUUUUCUCCAACAGUUUGAUGGAGAUAGUCGUAACUAAUAAAAUAAAAGUUGUGUGAAAGAGUUUAAAUAAUUUAUCCGUAUAUUUGGGAUUACAUUGGAUUAUCAGUUAAUCUAUUAAAUAAUAUGUUUUGUAAAGAAUUUGAUUGGAUGUUUGAUAAGUUUAAUUUAGUAGUUUAAUUACUCAUAAAAGUGUGAUGUACUCUAAAAUGACAAACACAUAAAUGUUAUUUGAAGCUUUUGUGACCCUUCAUGUUCAUGCAUUUGAAUCAAAGCUAUUAAAAUCAAAUAUAUUGAUAAACCUUAAUAAGGAAAUUAAGUUUCGAUUGCUCUCAAUCUGCAACUCGACUACUAUUACAAUCACUUGAAAUGACAAAAACAGAAAUUUCAUAUGAACUUGGGACAGAUGUACACGGGUUCAAUUUAGCUAAUUUCCCAUAUAUUUACAACUACGUACGGGGAAAAUUAAAGCUGAUUGACUUUCAAAUUAAGCAACAAACAAGUGGCUGUCUACUAUUUUUCCUCUACCAAUUGAUGGAGACCGCCGAUGCUAUAAAACAAAAAUUGAUUAAGAAUUUAGAUAAGGAAAAUUAUCAACUGUCCGUCUUAAGUUUAUCAUUUAUUCAUUUUUCGCCUUAAGUUUACAAUUCGUAUUAGUCAUCUACUAAAAAGAUAGAAUUACACUUAUGAAAUGACAAUACAUAAAUAAAUACAAAUGGCAAUAGUGGUAAUUUUGUAUGAAUUUUUCUAUUCUUUUGGCGGUUGGUUGAUACAAAUUAAAAACAUAAGAAGAAAAAUAAAUAAAUUCAAUCUUUUUAGUAUUUCUGAUAGUAGGUUAAACCAAAGGAGGAGGGCUUUAUAAUUUCCCUUUAAAUAAUUUAAGGGUGUGAUUGCGUUUCUAUUGAAUUGUACGCUUGGAUUUGCAUUGAAUUAUCAAAAAAUCUAUGCAAGCAUCGAAUUGUAAUGACUGACGAAGACUUAUAAGGCUUGGACCAAUGAAGAAAAAUGCUUCAUUAAUGCUCCGUGGAAAACAAGCCAGCUUGGAAGCAGUUGAUCGGAUGGUCAACAGUUGAUUGAGAUAGUCAACUAAUAAAAUAAAAGUUAGUUGAGAUAAUUUUAAUAAUUUAAGCGUCGUUUGGGUUUCAAAUAUCAAAUAAUUUAUUCCAGUAUUGAGAAGAGUUGAAUUCCGUUAUUUUAUUGAGAAGAGAUCCAUCGCUCCCUCCCAAUUAUCACAGCAAUCAGACGACAUUCCUUCAUCACCGUCAAACCAUGAACUAAGAGCUUCGUCAUCGUAUCCAAUAUCACUGCUGCUGAUAUGAAGAAGCUUUUGAUUUCUAACAGAGCAGUCCUCUCAGUUUCCAAGCAAGCUUUGCAUCCAUGCAUUUCAUCCAAAACGACAAUCCAAAGUAGUGAGGUUAAUGAGAACUUAAUGAAGGAAGUACUUCCAUUGCAAAACAGCUUUUUAUUUGGCUAAAGUUAAAUGUGAAUUAAAUAUCUUUGACUGGUGAUAUACAUAUAUUCAGAGAUUUGAAGUGCUCAAACCAAAAACAAAUAAAAAUAUAAAAAUAUUAUUAUAAAAAAAUUGAUGAAUAAUAUAGUUCCAGGAAGUGCUAAUAUGGCUCUUUGAACUCUCUUUACAGUAUUGGUAGAAAUUUAUCCGAUGUGUACAAGGGCUUGUAUAUUUUGCAAUAAAAUAUACGAGCCAAUAUGAAUUUCUUUCUUUCUUUCUCUCUCUUUUUUUUUUUAAGUUUCUCUCUCUUUUUUUUUUUAAGAAACAUGAAUUGGUUCGUCCAUCAAUUAAUAAUAAAACCAUAAUGUACACCGGUAUGAGUUUAUCUAAAAUCACCGGCCACACCAAUAUCAUUGUGACAUAGGAAGCGAUGAGGAAAUUUACGAAAUAUUUAUUAAACCAUAGUCUACGCCAGUAAGAUGGAAUUAGCAUUCAAUGAUCAUAGACUUUCUGCAAUUUCAUUGACUUGUGAUCAGGGAGUCCUUAUUCUACAAUAAUUAUAAUCAAACACGCACACUGCAAGGCAACCUUCAAUUGACGUAUUCUGUCAACUAACUGGGGACAGGGGUCAUAAAAGGGUACGUGAGAGAAAGCACGAGUCUAUGCACAGUUCCGGUUUUGCUAGUUGAUGGAACAUGGAGGAUGUGUGUUAACGUUAACCAAUAGUCAAGUUUAUGAACACAACCAAGUAAUCGUAUCAUCAAUCAGAACCACAUUCGACGCACGACUAGUAAAUAUCAUAAUUGAGUUUGAGGACCACAACCGCACAGUGAAAGAAUUUGAAUGAAGGAAAAGUAAAAGAAAAGGAAAAGGAAAAGAGGGGAAUGCUAAAGAAAAAUAAGUUGAUUCAUCAGUUAUUCAAUAUGACAAUUGCACACAAAUUUUGGAUGUUUUUAGCCUCCAUGUGAAUCAAAAUAAUUAAUAGAGACUAUCCCGCGUGUCACAUGUAACUAACUUUGGCGCCAUCUUGAGCUACUUCUGUUAAGGUCUUCACUCCAUAGUCUUAAGAACACAAUGCACAAUCAAUUCUUCAGAUUCAUAUGGCAAAUGAAUUACUCAUAAAAGAAAGAUAAAGUAAACUAUGGCCUGGUACUGUCGUUUUAUGCGUUCUAGUGGUGUUGUAGUAUAAACAGUACUCGUUUUUCUAUCUUGGUGGUUUCUUGAUUGUGUUCAAAUAUCAAUACUCGGAGACAGAUAGAGGAAAGCUAAAGAAAAAUAAGCUAAUUCAUCACUAACAUAAUAUGACAAUUGCACGCAACUUUUGGAUGUUUUUAGUCACUGAAAUUUUUAACAUUAAUGAUUAAUUACAAGUAUGUGAAUGAAAACUUAUAAACAAAUUUUGUUUACAGGAAAAAUGUAACUGUGAAAGAAAGUAAAAGAGAGCAGAGAGACUAAAACCAGAGGAUUUCAUUCGUCAUUUCAUAACUAUAUUCCUAGUGCAACUGCGCAAGGUUGAGCAUUCAAAGUCCAUAAUUCUAAAUCAAAAUCACCAACAGACACCUGUACAUGAAAUACUCAGGCCUUUACUCUGGACUUAAGACCGCAUGUCUGAGAAAUUCGUCAGAUUCAUGUAGCAAAUGAAUUGCACAAGGAGGCAUAAAAAUUAGUAUAUUUUUCAAGGACCCAGCUUGAAAGCAAUGAACUAAAAAUUAAUACAUAAAAGUUCAAUUACACGUAAAGAAGGAUAAUAGUAAACUAUGGCCUAGCAAGAUGACGGAUGAAAGAAAACCAUGGCCAGCGCCAAUACGAAUUCAACCAAAGGAUUCAUCUUAAUUGCAGAUUCAUCUUCGUCUUCUCCUCGAUUGGAUGUUAUUGCUGGAUUUUCCUAUGUUCUGGUGCAAGUCUUAUUAAUUGUUGGACCACAAAGACCGAGAUUAUAACUCUUUUCAUCAAACCUGCCAAAUUGUUUUUUGUCUGGGAUCAGACCGGACAAGUUCUUAUAUGACUCGUUAAAGUUGGAUAAAUAGUUGAUUAUUGAUCAGAAGAUCACUAAUCAGAAAAUUUUUCAUUUAUGUUUGUGUAAAUUAUUCAUAAAAGUAUGGUCUACUCUGAAAUUACAAAAAUAAACAUAAUAAAUUUGAAUAAAGGAAAGGAAAAUGAGAAGCAAAACAGAGGAAUGCUAAGGAUAAAUAAGCUGAUUCAUCAGUAACUCAAUAUGGCGAUUGCACACAACUUUUGGAUGUUUUUAGCCUCUGAAAUUUCAAUAUGAAUGAUACAUUACAAAUAUGUGAAGCAAAACUUAGAAACCAAUUUUUGCUUACAGAGAAAAUGUUAAAAAACAAAUAAUGAUAAAAGAGUGCAGAGAAACUAAAAACAGAGGAUUUCACGGAUCAUAAUUUAUAAGUGAUAUUCCUAGUGCAAGGCUGAACAUAAAUCUUAGGUGUGCGAAUCAAGAUCAUUAACGAAGAGAUCACGCGUGUCCCAUGUAACUAACUUUGGCGUGAUGUAGGAUGGUUGCAUAGAAUGAGUAGGGUAUCUUUCAAAUGUCAUAACUUGGGCUACAAGUGUAACUAACAACGACGAUGCUCAAGUUUGGUUAUCGUCGAUGACUGCGGAUUGAUGUUCGUAGCUCCUCCUAUAUCAAGGAAAUGUCAUAAUUACUUUCCAAACAUAAGAAAUACAACUAUUUUAUGUGAUAUGAUUCACAAUAAAUAUUUAUCCCAUAGCUUAUAACUCUCGAAUCCAUUAUUUGUAAAUAAAAAUUACCCUAAUACUCUCAAAACCAUCAAUUGCACCUUAUGCUCAAAAUUUCAUAUUCCAGCUCAAUAAUUAAAUUUCCAUAUCCUAUAAUACUAAUAAAUCAGCCACAUUAUCGCCAAUCUCAUUAUUAGCCAUGAACUACCCAAACAUAAUAUAUAACAAUAAGCUAUUUACAUACCGAAUUGAGGAAAUAGUGAGCGCUACACAUUUUGGCUCUAAUGCCUUGGUGCCCUUGUGCACCUAAAAUGAUCCACCAAUUACUAAAAUUAGCUUGGGACUGACUACACCCAUUUGUUGGGAACCCUAACUAUAAAUAAAGUACACUAAUCUUUGAAUUAUUUUCAUUUUCAUGUAAAUGCAAUUUCAGGUAAAGAUAAAAUGAUAGAAAUCUUACUUCAUUUGGUAAGAAAUUCAACUUGAAAGCUUGAAUCCCUUCCCUCUCACUGAAAUCCUUUCUCUACACUUCCUACAUUUAAAUUCCUCUCCAAUGAAUUUCCAAAUGAACUUAGGGAUAAAAAUACUCUAGAAUGACUCUCGAAUCCAAGUUGUGCAAGACCAAACUCAAUUUUGGAAAAAUCCUAAAUCAUGAAAAUUUUCCCAUUGUCUUCCUCUCAUGCCCGUGAGCUUUUGCAAAGCAAUGGUAAGUGCUUUCUUUUUUAAUUCGCUUUAUAUAUAAAACUUAUUUUAUUUUUUUGUUUAUGGGCUUUUGAAAUAUCCAUUUAGGCCCAAUUAAAGAAAAUUAAUUUAUAUACAUUCGUAUUCAUAAGUUAUUAUUAAUAACUUGUAUAUACAAGUCAGGGCAGUACGCAAAUUUACUGAAUACAGAGUAAAGUUGUACUUUAAUUGGUGAACUCUGAAGGCACCAAUUAUAACAUCCAUUUCUAGCAUAUAUAUAUAUAUAUAUAUAUAUAUAUCAUGGAAAUCUGACAUGCUUAUACAGAUCACAUACAGGAUUCAGAGAUGAAGGGCAGCAAAGAUUGAUAAUUUUUGUUUUCCCCAAUCACCUUGAACAGAGUGAGAAGAAACCAUUAUUUCUAUAUGUGCAGUUCUUCCAUCCUAUUGUUAUUUAAUGGUUGUUAAAUAUAUAUUUGCAACCAACAGAAACUGCAGAAGAAACAGUAAGUCUAAUUUUAACGAAACCGCUCGAAGGAACUUCAAAACAUGAGCAUAGUUUUAGAACCAAAUUAAGAAUUUUAGCAAACACAUACACUGAUACAUAGCAGUUUGCAGAAAAGCUAACGGAAUACGUAACACAGCAUGACAAGUUAUACUCGCAGACCCGUAGGAACUUACUACAAUGGCCUAGCACAAUCACCGAUAGAAUGCAUAUUUGAAGAGCCAAUAGUAGCAUGUGUCAAUACAUUCAUCAAUGAAAUAGAACCACCGUCUACGCCAAUAGGAGUUUAUCCAAAGGACUGCAAACAAACCCAAAAUAACUGUCACAAAGGACGCGCCAAAACUCCAUUUUAAUGCCACCAUAUCAAUCAUCGAAUCGUCUUCUUCUUCUUCUGCUCCUUCUGUUGGUGUUGCUGGUGGUUUUAAUGCACUGCUGCAUUUCUUCCUUAUCAAGGAACCACAAAGCUCUGCUUCUACUGUUUGAUUUAUUGAGGCAUGUGGUUCAGUGGGCGGUUGAAGAUUAAGAGUAGAAUUGUAGAAAGUAGUAGCAAUAGAAUCGAUGUAGAAACCCUGAUACGCUGUGUAUUCAUCAAGCAAACCAUAGUCAUACAAAUAAUAAUUAGUUCAUUCUCUCCAGAAUGACACGUUACCCAAGCAUGAAGGUAUUGACCCACUAAAUAUGUUAUUUGAAAGAUCCAUGAUACGUAAUUUUGCUAACUGGCACAAUUCAUUAGGAAUAUGUCCUUGUAGAGAAUUCCCUCUUAAAAGAAGAACAUGCAAAUUCGAAAGCUCAUUGAUCUGAUAAGGAAUCCUACCAAAGAAUUUAUUAUCCCUCAAAUCUAGAGUGAUUAAUUUAGAGCUUCUAAACAAUGCAUUAGGAAUUUACCCAGUAAUAGCAUUCUUCUGCAAAUAAAGGUGUUUCACUGAUGAAAGAUUAAAGGAAGAUACCAUGGUCCCAGACAAACUAUUUUCAAAGAUGUCUAUAAGCUCAAGACUUUUAAGGUGGUUGAGUUGGACUGGAAUAUUAGCUUCCAAAUAAUUUUUUGACAUUAAAAGAACCCUAAGAGUUGAGAUGUUACCAAUCCAAUUAGGAAUAUUACCGGAUAUAUCUAACCCCUCUAAUGAAGUGGAGCUCCUCAAACCAUCAUCCAUCUUCCCACUGAAAUGAUUGUUGUCAAAAAUAAAUAAUUCAAAUGGGUCAAGUUCAUAUAUUUGGGAAAAAUUCGGCCAUAGAAAUUGUUAUUUGAUAGGUCUAACAAAUCUAGAGCGACGCAACCAGAGACUAUCGGUCAGGGUAAUUCUCCCAAAAAAUUAUUUCUAGAAAAAUCCAGCAUAUAUAACUCUUUCAUCUCACCUGUUGAAUAAGGAAUAUCACCUUCAAAAAUAUUUUUUGACAUAUCCAAAUAAAUCAAUUUCUGAAGGACAAUACCCAUAUUCCGUGGUAGCUUACCAGCGAAAUUGUUAUUGGAAAUAUCUAGAUGACGAAGCAUAUCGUGUUUGGCAUUGGGAUGUAGAUGAAGAAUUCCUGAGAGUGAGUUGUUCGCCAAAGACAAAUAGUUUUAUCUUGUGUUGUUUUGGAACAACCAAAUUGGGAAAUUGCCAACCAACUUAUUAUGAGAGAGGUCAAGGAAUUUUAAGUGGUCCUGUUGUAAAAGAAAACUUGGAAUGACAUGUAACUGGCAGUCGGAUAAUUUGAGAACCUUCAAUUGAGAUGUCGGGUGCCAGCUUUCGGUUUUCACUUGUAACAUAUUGCUUCCUGAUGAGAGUAACAAGACCUCGAGCUUUGAAUGAUUAGCCAAUGAAUUUAUUGAGAAUGUUCCUCGGAAAUUAAUGGAAGAGAGAUCCAAAUAUUCAAGUGAUGUGAAGUUGGUCAAGGUAGAAGGAAAGUUUCCACUUAAUUGAUUAUUAGAAAUAUCAAGAACUUUGAGAUGGGUCAAGUUAUUGAGACACUGAGGAAGGUGACCCUCAAAGUUAUUUGAGCUCAGAUCCUACUCAAAAAGAUUCCUCAAAUUACAUAUUUCUGAACCUGAAAAUAAAAGAUCAAAAUUUUAUAGAAUGGAAACUAAUCAUAGCGAAUUCGGUCAUAAUCCAAUACAAGACUUAAAAAACAGACAAAAAUCAAAUUGCCUAAUUAUUUUGGUCAGCACAAAUAAUAAUAGAGUAAUGUGAACUUAUUUCUCAUAUAAUAUGAUGUUGAUUGCAAAUGCGUUUCAAUAAUCUGAAAAAAGGGAAAAAAAAUGCCCUCAGCACUUUUUGCUUAUCAUAACCCUAAGUCCUUGUUUAUAAUUAUAAUUUUCUGAGGAAGAAUUUGUUCACGUGAUGUUGUUCAUUGGACAAUGGUUCUGUAACCUCUAUAAUGUAAAGAGAAACUCAUAAUAUUUUAGUUGUCUUCUUAAAUAAUAAAUUGUCUUAAAAUACAAUUAAUUUGUCUUAAAUUUAAUUUAUUCCUCAGCAUUCAAGGAAAAACAAAAACAAAAAAAAAAGAAAAAGAAAAAAGAAAUGGUCUUCAUAUAUAAUUCUGUCCAAGUACUUUGAUACACAAAUCAAUCGGAAGGUGGUGUAUCAGUAAUGCAAAUAUUUAAUUAUCAUGUUUCAACAUAACAAUUCUGUGUAAAUUGUUCGCUUUAGGUUUCUAGAGAACUGUUUAUAUUAUUAUUACUACUCAAAUUCAAUGCUUCCAAGUAUUUGAAUUUAAUUAGCUAAUCCUGUAUCAAGAAUUAAUGAACAUAAGAUAAAUGUCAUAUUAAUUAGAUUUAGAUUUUUUUUUUCCAGUUUUGACGUAUAGAUAUAAAUAAUACUUCAAAAGCAUUGAAAUGUAAGAGCUAUUAAAAAAUCGUUUUUCAUUCAAAGCUAUAAUUAAUGAAAUGAAGAUAGAUAUCAUUGUUCAUUUAAAAAAAAUUAAAUUCAGAAAAAAGAAAGAGCGAAAGAAAUGAGCAGGUUAUGUUAAUAAAUAGUGAGAGAGUAUGUCAAGGACUAAAAUUUAUUAAAGAAAGCAGUGGUUCUAAUUCAAAUUUGAUCAAGUUAGAAGUAGUCAAUUAUGCAUCGAGAAUCAAAAGAAUGAAGAAUGGGAAUUCAAAAUUAGCUUAAAAAUUAUAAUAAAGUGAUUAGUUAAGAUUCAAUUAAGCUGAUUUACUAAAAAAUAUUGAAAAAUAAAAGACCACAACAUUGCCAAAAAGACUAGGAAAUUAAGUAGGAAGGGGUGAUUGUUGCGGAAUACCUUGUAGUUAUUCCACAACCACGAAGACCAAUUGCUUUCAAGUAUUGCAAAUAUGCCAAUCCUACAUCAAUAAAAAGCAAAAUGUUACUUUAAAAUUAUUGUAGAAGACUGUGAUCAUUGUGAUAGAUCGGUAAUUUCAGUAGCUUACCUAGGCUUCUUAAAGAGCCGCUUGUUAGAUUGAGGUUCCAGGUUAGAUCCAACACUUGCAAGUUUCUCAAAUCUGCUAAUCCUGCUCAGUAAACAUUAAUUUUGAUAAAAACAAUAUGCAUAAAUAUUUUAAGAGAUUAACUUGCCUGGCAUGCAUUUCUGCCUCAAACAUAUUUACCGUGCUUGAUUCUGGAACCUUCAAUGUUAUUGGAACGAAGAUUCAGAGUGGUAAGUGAAGUUAGUGUAUUCAAAUAUGGUAAUAUGUUGUCGUUGAAGAAAUUACCACCAAGAUUUAAGAUCUUCAGCUGUUUCAAACUCCCAAAGCUGUCGUAAGCUGCAAAUGCAUAUGAAUUAUUAUCAUUAAUUAGUCACUGACAAAAUAAUUAUGAAUGAGUAAGAGAUACAUAUGCUUGUACCUUUAUUCUUAUAGAAGCCUUUAAACCAAUUUAUCAGAUAAGUCAAGGCGCUGCAGUUCUUCAAAAGGGUGAAAUAAUAAUGACAUAUUCAGAAAAGAAACUCCAUAAGAAUAAGAGUUAUAAUCAGAGUAGUUGAUUUUUGUUUUCUGAUUGAGUGAGAGUUGCGUCACCCGUAGGGUGGUGGCGUUGCACUUAACUCCCUCCCAGUCGUUGCAACAAUCAGACGACAUUCCAUCAUCAUCAAACCAUGAAGAAAGAAUUUCGUCAUCAAAUCCAACAUCACUGGCUGAUAUGAAGAAGCUCUUGAUUUCCAACAGAGCAAUCCUCUUCGUUUCCACGCAUGCUUUGUAUCCAUGUAACUGAAUCAAAGCCAUGCCAAUCCACAAUGACAACUUCAUCAAAAGCAUUUUCAUUUUUAAUAUUAACUGCUAGAGAAACACUCACAAGAUUGACCUGUCAAUUGUUGCUCUCUUGAAUUUUUUCUGGUUCCAUAGCAAAUAUAUGACUUAUAUAUAUACAAUGGAAAUUUUGCGCAGAAUGAAAAUUUUGCACAUUUUCACGUGCCAUGUCAAUGAGAAAACAUGCAUGGAUAGAAAAAAGUAGGUGAGAGAAUGUUACCUGUUGAUACAUGUUAUCUGCUUGUGACUUUAGUACCGUCCAAAGAAAUUGAAAUGUGAAAUAAUUGAAGAUGCAAAUUGGUUGAUUUCACGGGCCUGGCCUCUGGCAAAGUGAAAUGUUGGCCACGCACUAUACCAGUAAAGUGUCAACAUUGUAGCAUAAGGAAAUUGCGGCAUCUCAGCUGGAUUUUGAGAGUCACUAUUUCGUAUAAUCAGUCCCAUUUGUUCGUGGGGACUCACAUUCUGUCCUAUUGUGGACUCACAAAUAUUUAACAUGAUUUUGAUAUUUUGAUAACUACUUAAACCGCAUUUCCUUGAUAAUUAAAGAAAAAGAGAAGUGAAUGAAGCAAAAGAUACUGAUGACCAUAAUUAUGUAAAUAAAUACAAGACUUUACAAUAGAUUAGACCACCAAUUUGUGCUUUUUCGUCCAAAAAUAAUGCAUCUGCUUUAACAAGAUACGAGUGAAUUGGGGCAUAUCUUUCUUUCAUAAUGUAAACUUGCCAAAAUACAUGUAAUCUGCUGGUGAAAUAAUUUUAUAAAACAAAGGCUUAAAGUUAAAGCUGACUAAAAAUAUUGGUGUACGUCAAGAACGCUACGGGGAAAAUUUAACCGCGAGCUGCAGUCUGCAGUCCCCAGCAAUCCGGGAAAAGGCUGAGGUGGUGCGGGCCUGCCCACUAAUUUGGCAGGUCUGAUGGGAUUUAUAAAUAAAAAUAAUGUAAUUUUAUAUAUUUUUUAAAUAAAAAAUUUGUUGAUGCCGUUGUGAGAUCCAUUGGAUCCAAGGUCUUGAAGAGGAAAGAUCACUAUGGCUGCAAGGUCUGGAAGAGGCAAGUCCAAUAAAGCCAAGGCUGACAAGAAGAAGAAAGAAGAGAAAGGUUUCAAUUGUUAAGCCUUAUUAUUCACUUCUUUCAUUGGAAAGUGCUUUUUGUAAAGUGCUUUUGCAGUCUAGCUUCCGUAUGUUCAUUGAUUUCUUUUGUUGUGCAGUAGUACCCAGUGUUCUUGAUAUCACAAUCAUCACCCCAUAUGAAUCACAAGUUGUUCUCAAGGUAUACAUAUAUACUUAUCAUUAAUACUUUCUCGUUUUGCCCUCACCAGCUAUUAUUAGGAUAUUAUUUUGUAAAACUUUAUAAAUAUAAAUGAAUUAUUAAUUAAUCAUCUUUUUCUUGUUUGAUUGAAAUUUGCUCGAAGGGCAUCUCCACUGACAAGAUACUUGAUGUGAAAAAAUUGUUGGCUUCCAAUGUAGAAACUUGCCACCUCACAAAUUAUUCUCUCUCUCACGAGGUAUAUAUAUAUAUAUUUUAUUAUCUCUCUUUUUUUUAAUUAUAUAAGAUUAUGAAUAAUGAUAUUAAGCACUAGAUACUAUUUUUUUCCACCUUAUUUUUAUUUGUUUAUUUCUUUAUGAUAUUAAUGCAUUAUUAGUUGUUUUUUUUUAUCAGGUCAAGGGGUAGAAAUUGAAUGAUAGAGUAGAGGUUGUUACUCUGAAGCCCUGUUUGCUCAGAAUGGUUGAAGGUAGGUGAAGCUCUCUCGUGUCAAAAUUUCUGAAUUAAAAAGUCUCAUGCAUGUGGAUGUGGGUCUCAUCUUAUUUGUUAUUUUUAAGAGUUCUGCUAUUUACCUCGGGUUAAACCCCGAAAGCUAAAACAAAACGACGUCGUUUCCUCUUCUUCAUGAAACGCUACCGUUUCACCCUAGCAAAAGCAAACGUUCCUCUCCUCUUCAUUUUCGUCUUCCUCUCCUGACUCCUCUUCGUUUCACCAGGGAACGACAUUCGUUUUGUUCGUUUUGUUUAAGAUCCAAAUCAAAGAAAUUUCCUUUUAAACAAAUCUGCCAUUUGUUUUCUCCUUUGAAAUUUCCUCUUAAAAAAUCUGCCAUUCGCGCAGGCAUGGUCACCGUCAACGUGGCAGGCAUCACGCGCAUCUCUCAUUGAACUCAUGAAGCGUCACAGUUAUCACAGCCGCAGGUAAUGCUUUGAUCUUUAGCUUUUCUAGGUUACGGUAAAAUGGGGGCAAUUUUGAUAGCUAUCAUCAUUUCCGUUUUAUUUAAUUUUCAGUUGAAAUAGAAUGUUAAGGAAAUAAGUGUGUUAAAUUGCAAUUGGUUUGUAAUUUAUGCUAAAUUGGUCUGCAAUUUGUGCUUGAGUUGGUCUGCAAUUUGUGCUUGAAUUGGUUUGCAUUUGUGCUGAAUUGGUCAGGAAUUUGUGCUGAAUUGGUCUGCAAUUUGUGCUGAAUUGGUCUGUAAUUUGUGCAGAAUUGGUCUGUAAUUUGUGCUUGAAUUGGUCUGCAAUUUGUGCUUAAAUUGGUCUGGAAUCACCAAAUAGUCCAGAAUUGUUGAUGUAACUUUUACAACUCUUAUAAAUAAUAGAAAGCAAGUUAAUUAGAAGCACCAAAAUAGUUCAGAAUCACCAAAAUAGAAGCACUAAAAUAGUCCAAAAUUGUUGAUUUUGUGGACACACACAGACACACACACAGGGAGAGAGAGACACGCACAGAGAGAGAGAGAGAGAGAGAGAGAGAGACACACACACACACACACACACACUGACACACACACACAGACACACACACAAAGAGACACACAAACACAGACACAGACACACACAUACACACAGCUUUGUUCAGCCCACUUUAGUAGCAAAUUCAAAUACCAAGAAACUGAGUUGGCCUUAUAAAACAUUGUUCUGGUUUUCUUUUCAUUAUUAACUGUAAUUGUAUCCCUUUUUGAGCUGUUUCUUUCCAACGGUCUAUGGCUUUACAAAUAAUGUCAUCCAACACAACCGAGAAUUGAAUCUCAUUGCAAAUGUGUAAUGGAUGUGGUGAUCAGAUGGAGCUGUUAACGUCACGCACAACAAAAAAUCCAAAUUGCAAAUUUUGGAUUUGUAGAGGAUGUAACAACUUUCAAUGGGCAGAAGAUCGUAAAUCUAGCGAAGAGAAAAUAGACUUGUUAGCGGAUGAGGUUAGGAAGUUGGCCUUGGAGAUUGAGUGUUUGUCCGUUAAAUUUCAACUAUUGCAUAAAGAACUUGAGCAUAUGUGAGAUCGUGAAGUGCAGAGGCGAUUGUUGGACGAUGAACUUCGAAAGAGAGAGGCACUACGAUAUGAUUUUAUUAAAUUAAUCAUGAUUGUUGUAUUAUGUUUUCUAUUCAAGUAUUGUUUUUAAGUUGUUUCAAUUUGUACUAUGUUACUGGAAAAGACUUGUAUUGUAGAAUUUGACCACUAUAUGUAAUAGCAUUUUCAUGUUAAAUAUAAGUUUUCGAUUGUUUGAAUUAAUUCAAAGUAUUCUGAAUUUAGAAUUUGACCCCCAGAAUACUUCUCAAAAUUAUACUAUGUCCCAACUCAUUCCAAUAUGUUCCAAAUAGAUCCAUUUUCAGAAUUUACAAAGUCUAAAAUUUAAAAAAUAUCGAAAUACACAUACACCAAGUUACAUUAGCUUUACAAUAAUACAUAAAACAUAAGCUAACUUUGUUGAUUCGUCAAGCCAAUUCCAAUGAACUUCGAUCAUGUGCUUGGUUCAUUAGUUGAAAACUCCCCUCGAUUGGCCUCCUCGAAAUUUUGUUGCGGAAAAUAUUGCAAGUUUGCGUGAUGGACUCCGCUGUAAUUCAUCCAAGACUGAUAAUAAGGGAGGAAAAAUGCAUGUUCUAGGGGUGCUUGCUGUGCUAGCUGUUAUACAAAAAAAAAAAAUUAUAUACAAAUUAUCAAACAUAUGACAAUGAAUGUAAAUAGCAAAAAAAAAAAAAUAUUACCAUAGCCAUAUGGCUCUCUUGUGUUGGGAUUGUAGUAGCCACUUGAGAAGAAAAAUCAUGUAUCUCCGAGUCCUAGAAAUAUGGUUAACACACAUUUAAAGUAUAUAUUAAAUUUAUUUAAAAUGAAUGUAUUAAAUAUAAAUGCAAUCAACAUACAUUUAAAGUAUACAUUAAAUUAAUUUAAAAUGAAUGUAUUAAAGUAAUUACCUCUACAGUUGUGCUUGUCGAAGCAUUAUUCGACUUCUGUUUUGGCCUCUUAAAUUGCUUUUGCUUUCUUUGACUAGGUGGACGAUCUUUACGCCGAGUUACUACUGGAUCAUAUAUAAUUUUGAUACAGCUUCCUGAUCCACUAUAAAUGGUUGUAUCGUGACCGUCACUUCGAACAUUCAGAGAUACAUCCUCCAUUGCUUUCUCGAUCCAACCCAUAAUAUUUUUAUGGCUUUCUUCAUUUUUUGAAGUUACCUCAGCAACAUCAUAAAAAUCAGUGCACUCCUCUUUAUAUCGCUGAUGUUCAAUGCUCGAACUUCGUGCAUCAUAAUUGACUUUGACUUUACUAUAGAAUCUCCGCACAUCUUUCCUCUAUCUUCGUAGAAUAUACUUUUCAGGCAGUAAUUGUAUACGGUUACGUGACAACACUGCGAUGGCGUGUCUGCAAAGAAUGCCCUUAUAUUCAAACAUUGAACACACACAAUGAACUUCACCCUCAUCUUUUGCAAAAAUGACUUGAAAAGUAUUUUCUCUACUAUUUUCAUCGUUUUCAAUAACUUCAUAUUCUAAUCCACCACAACUGAAAACCUCACAAUAUAUCUUAUUCACCAGCUCUUGCUGAAAUUCUUGAAACUUGGAAAUAGUGUACACUUCUUCAACUUGCUUCUCCAUUGCAAAACUGGUACGACAUGGCAUCCGUUGGCUAAAACACCUAACAUCCGCUUGCCAUUCUUUCUCAAUUUUACUUUCCAUUGCUUUCUCAUAUUUCUCCACAAAUUGCUUCAAAGUUGUUUUCGAGUUAACAUACCCAUCAAAGAAAGCAUUCAUACUUUCACUACGCUGAGUGGUUGGCAUUCCAGCCCAAAAAGAAGUUUUUACGAAACAUGGAACCCAACGAUUUCUUUCCUCAUAUAAACCAUUUAACCACUGAUUACUAAGAUCAUAUUUAUCUAACAUGUCAUGCCAAGCUUUCUCGAAUUCAACAGGAGUAUAUGAAUCAUAAACAAUAGAAUGUAAUGAAACUCUAAUGGCAUGAUAUUCAACAUACCUUCCUAACUUCUCAGGCACCUUUUUCAGUAUAUGCCAUAAACACCAUCGGUGCCUAGUGUUUGGAAAAACAAUCUCAAUCGCAUUUUUCAUCUCUUUGUCUUGAUCUGUAAUGAUUCCAAGGGGAGGAGAGCCAGACAUGCAUGAUAGCCAUGUGUCAAAUAUCCACGAAAAUGUCUCCGUGUCCUCAUGCGAAAUCAACCCACAUCCUAACAAAAUUGAUUGACCAUGAUGAUUAAUUCCUACAAAAGGAGCAAAUGACAUGUCAUACUUGUUUGUAAGGUAUGUGGUAUCAAAUGUGACCAUAUCUCCAAAGUUUUUAUAGGCUGCCUUACUCCUUGGAUCGGCCCAAUAUACAUUUUUUAACCGGCCCUCCUUAUUUAGGUCAAGACUGAAGAAAAACCCAUCAUUUUCUGUUUGCAUUUUCUUAAAAUGUCUCUGAAUUGCAACAACAUCCCCUUCUCCGAGCCUUAAUCGCCUCACCUUGUCAAUAUGAUUUCUAGCAUCUUUUUCUAAGAAUGAGACAUUUUCAAAGCCACCAGCCUCAACAACAAUCGACUUAAAACUUUGAGCCAUUUUAAUUCCAGCUUCAUCAUUUAUUUCAAGCUGCUUUUUAACAAAAGGACUAAUGGUACGGUUGCAUCGAUAAUACCUACUCUUGCUCGGACUCACGGCACGGUUGUGUUCAAGGAUCAUAUUUCCAAUUACCCAUUUUCUACUAACAAAAUCCAAACGUCCUCCAAGUUUAGCAUUGCAUUCAAUUUUUUGGUUUGGUUGAAGCCGCAAAACAUUAGUGCUUUUGGCUUUUGAAUUGCCAUUUCGCCCACAAGUAAAUGUCACAUAUCUCAAACUCCCAUCAUCCCCUUUUCUACAAGAUCUCCACAUCACUGGAAACCCCUCUUAUAGGCCAUAAGCCUUAUAAUAUUCAAACAUUUCAUCAGAACUAUUAAAAGACAUCCCAACUGCUGGCUCAACAACUUUUUCCACCACCAAUUCCUCAUUAUUUUCUUCCAAAUCAGCCCCCUGCAAAUCCUGCAAUUCUUUAACUUCAUCAACCUCCUCCACUUACUUCAAAUUAUCCAUUAACUGCUGCAAAUUAAAACAAUUCAAUAUAUUAUUAUUUAUUUUUCGUGAAUUCAUUAAAUUUAGAAUAAAAAAAUUAAAAACAAAAUGAAACAACUACUGAAGAUUCAAAUUUAAACAAUUCAAGCUUGUUGUAAAAGCAUCGCAAUUGGAAACUGAAAAUGUCAAAUAACGGCAAGCCGCAAAACAUUAACUAAUAGAAGUCCGUAGGCAUAAUUAAUACUCAAAUAACUUCAAAGUGUGGUUGAGCCAGACUAAGUUUAACUUAUAGCUAGCUCAAGCGAAAAUAUUGUAGGUCUUACAUGCGCAUGAGCGAAUUCCAACAAAAACAAGUUCAUGACUUACCACAAACUCAAACGUUAAUUCAUGUUGAUGCUAUCUCCAACUUAUCUAUUUAGGUUACGAACUAUAUUCUCAGCAGGGGUUAAAUUAUCUUCUCGAUUGAAUAUAAAGAAGAGAACAUUUGUAUACUCAAAUAUCUUCGUAAUCGAAAAUGAGAUAGAAAUUCGAAAACAAAGUUUAAUACAAACAUGACAACAAAAAUGAGUCAAAAAUUCGUAGUCGAAACUGAAACUUCGAAAAUUUGAAGAUUCGAAAACAAAAUGCUGCCAAAAGAAAACAGUACCUUAGCUUGUGCAAAGCCACGUAUAAUCGAAACUGGAAUCUGUAAAUGCCGAAACUUAGUCUUAUGUCAGAAAAAUUUAACAGCUGCUGUUAAUGCCGAUGAGGUUAGGAAUCAUGGACAAUGUCGAGACUCUAUCUUGUUCAAGCUUCUGCUUUUGCCUUGUUUGAGCCAAAUCUUAUCACCUUCGAGGAAUAUAAGAGCUUAAAGAUUUUGCAUUUCACUCGGGUGUGGUGAAUCGAAGAGGAAGAGCUUAAAGAUUUUGCGUUUUUCUCAGUUCAUAAAGUAGCUGUUUCUUUGCGUUUUUUCUGCUUUAGUUGGUUUUGUUUUUACUAGGCUGAAACGACUACGUUUCAUGGAAGCAAAAAGGAAAAAAAAAAGAAAGAAACCAAAACGGCAUCGUUUUGGUUUAAUUCGGGGUUUGACGCGGGGAAAGUAGCAUUUUCCUAUUUUUAAUUGUUAACAUUUAGAUCUUUUUAGUUCUACAUCCAUAGCCAAACUAUUUUAAGUAAACUAUAUUCAUUUUAUUGUAUGUUUUUUAAGAAUUUUUUAAUUCGAAAUAAUUUUUUUAAUAUUGUUGAAAAAGACAGGUUAAAGUAAAAAAAUUAUUGACUAAAUAAAUAAAUAAAUGACAUUAUUUUAUUUUUUAACAUUAAAAAAAACCAAUUUGAUGCAGUCCACUUAGUCCUGCACACUUGGAACGUUACCAUGCUUUUUAGUGCUGUACAUUUUGGACUCAAUUGUCCUUGUCAUUUCAAGUAAAAGUUGAAGCCGUCUCAAAAGUAAAAUAAUAGGGUCCGCCUAAGUUACAUUUAACGUAACUUACGGCUGACCCGCAAAAUAUCAUUAAUCCCCCUAUACUCUAUGUUAUUUACAAUAUAUUUAUAAGUAUUAUAAAAUUUUCUGUAUUGUAAAAUUUCGUUGAACCUCUUGUACUCUGUUUUAUUUUAAUGAAACUCUUGGAGUACGAAUUUGCCCCCUAUAAUUUUAAAUUCCCAAAAUACCCUACAGUUAAUUAAAAAUAUAAUAAUAAUUAAAUAAAUUAUAAUUAUAAUAAUUAUUUUAUUAUAAUUAUAAUAAUUAUUUUAUUAUAAUUAUAAUAAUUAUUUUAUUAUAAUUAUAAUAAUUAUUUUAUUAUUUUAUUAUAAUUAUAAUAAUUAUUUUAUUAUAAUUAUAAUAAUUAUUUUAUUAUAAUUAUAAUUUUUUAAUGGAUUAUUAUUAUUAUUAUUAACAAGAAUAAAAAGUAUUAUAACUAAUUAAUUUUUAGUUAAAAUGUUAAUAAUAACAUUAACAAUAACUAUUAUUGAUAAUUAAUUUUUGAAUAAUAAUAACAGUAACAAUAACAAUAAUUAAAAUACAAAAGAAUAAUUAUGAUAAAAAUUAAUGAAGGAUUUUAUAAUAAUUUGUUACAAUUUAAUUUAUUCUGAUUUUGAUUUUAAGACAAAGUAAACAAAUAAAUGGUAAUACAGCUCAUUCUAAUUAUGAUUCAUGCCGUUCAAAUAAAUAAAUUAUUAUGAUUCCAAUUCUUUAUUUGGAUUCUAGAUAUGUCGAUUCUAACUUAUUAUGUUUUCAGUAAAUUUUGAUUUAUGUUUAGUGAAUGCACUAUAAAAUUCAUAAUACUUAUAAAAAAUUGUAAAUAAUAUAGAGUGGUCUAAUUGAAUAUAAAGUGAUUUACAAUUUUAUAGUGCAUUCACUAAAAAUGAAUCGAAAUUAGUUGGAAACAUAAUGAGUUAAAAUUGGAUUAGCUAGAAUUAAAAUGAAAAAUUGAAAUCAGAAUAAUUUAUUUACUUGAACUGCAUGAAUCCUAAUUAGAAUAAACUGUAUUACCAUUUAUGUGUUUACUUUGUCUUAGAAUCAAUAUCGAAAUGAGUUAAAUUGUAACAAAUUACUAUAAAAUUCUUAAUUAAUUUAUUAUAAUUAUUACUUUGUAUUUUAAUUAUUGUUAUUGUUAUUAUUCGUCAAAAAUUAAUUAUUAAUAGUAAUUAUUGUUAAUUAUUAUUAUUGAUAUUUUAACUAAAAAUUAUUGUUAAUUAUUGUUAAUAGAUUAAUUAAUUAUAAUACUUUUUAUUGUUGUUGUUAAUAAUAAUAAUAAUCCAUUUAAAAAUUAUAAUUUUAUUUAUAAUUAUAAUAAAAUAAUUAUUAUAAUUAUAAUUUAUUUAAUAAGUAUUAUAUUUUUAAUUAAAUGUAGGGUAUUUUGAGAACUUAAAAUUAUAGGGGGCAAAUUCAUACUCCAAGAGUUUCAUUAAAAUAAAACAGAGUACAAGAGGUUCAACGAAAUUUUACAAUACAGAAAAUUUUAUAAUAUUUAUAAAUAAAUUGUAAAUAAUAUAGAGUAUAGAGGGAUUAAUGAUAUUUUGCGAGUGUUGGGUUAAAUGUAACUGAUCCAAAAUAAUAAUGUGCAAUUAAGUAACUGGCCUAAACUUUAGAAAUUUCAGAAGUUACAGUAUACGCAGGUCACAUCUAGGACCAUUAUUAGUUUAAUCAUUAAAUGACAAAAUUUUGCCAAUCUUGAGGGGGCUACUUAAAAAUGCAAGCAUCUCGUCCCUUGCCUGCUUCAUAGAUGCUCUUACUCACCCCCCCCGUCAUCUCACUUGUGCAAACCAAAGAAAAAAGAAAGAUUAUUAUUUUCCAUUUAUUACACAAAAAACAAUAAUUCCUUUUUAUUGCUCCAUGUUUAUUAUUUUAUUCUAUUUCUCCAGAAUCUCUCUUUAUCAAUUAAAUUUAUGAUAUAGAUAUUGAAGAUUUGCUUAAAUCAGAAAACUUGUUCAUAUUUCUGGUCAAUAUAAUACAUCCCUUAAAAGGUAAAAAUAGGGAAAAAAAAAAACAAGAAUGAUGAUUUUUUUUUUUUUUUUGGUUUUGACUGUUCUAGACAAUAAAGAAAUAUUUUGAAAGGGUCGGAGAUUACAAUGAAUCUAUACACUUGUGGAAAUAUUUUUAAGGCAUAAAUAAGUGCAACUUGAGAGCAUUUUGUUUUUUGUUCCACUAUAUAUUUUUAUACAACUGCCGCCUUAGAUUGGGUGCAUCACUUCAUUAUAUAAUCAGUAAAAAUUAAUUAUAUAAAUGGAAUCAUUCUCUAUUACAAUUAUUCGACUUCAUGAAGUAACAACUGAUGUUUUUUACCACAUUGUCAAAAGAGUUCAACUUUUAUUUGAGAAUACACCAUAUAAAAGAAAAAGAAAAAAAUAAAAACAAGAGUACACCAUAGAAAAGAAAAAAAUAAAACAAGUUUUAGAAUUAGUAGAUUAGAAUUGUUAUAAGAAAGAGUUGUCCCUAUAACUUCAAUAAGCUAGCCAUGUUUCUGAAGUUUGUUUUACUACCCUUACCAAACUUUUUCUAGUUGAUAUUAAUAACUUUAGUUUAGUAAACAGAAGCAAGAAGGUUAGAAUUAAUAACUUUAUCGUGAAUAAUUAAUAUGAUUACAGUUUAAUAAAAUUAUAUGUAAAGGCUUAUUUAAAGAGCGAAAAUUUUAUUUUUUUAUCAUUCUUUAGUGCUUAUAAUUAUAAUUUAAUCUAGAAGUAUUUUAAUUGUAAAAAUUAUUUAAAAAAAUAAGUUUGACGAAUAGUUUAGAGCUUAUAAUUAUUUUCUACUUAUAAUUAAGUUAAUAUUUAAUAGAAAGAACUAAAAUAAUAAAAGCAAAAACCUUUUCCGGCAAUUCCUUGUUAUUUACAUUUUUGGCACUGUCCUUGACAGAGGACUACACCGAGGAAUCUCAGGCCGUGGCACACGUGCGGCGGCUUCUCGACAUCGUCGCGUGCACCACACGGUUCUCCAAGUCCAGAAACUCCCGAUUGCCGCCAUCGUCAGAGUCAUGUGCCAAAAAGAACGACAGUAGGCCCCACCAACCUUCACCAAACUCUGCCGCUCUGUCUGAUGGAGCAGCAACAGCAGCAGCAGAUAACCGAAGCGGGCCCCGCGCCACGUCAUCGCCAAUUUCAUCGGCGGUUUCUCCGAGUCUGGACAUGGCAGCCAUUCACCCGACGCCGAAACUCUCCGAGUUUUACGACUUCUUCUCUUUCUCUCACCUCACUCCCCCCGUCUUAAGUAAGCCUAAUGUUCAUUUAUAUAUUUGUCUUCGUUUCUUACAUGGUUGAUCAAAAAAAAAAAAAAAAGAAAAGAAAGAGGAAAAUGAUAUAAAUAUAUGUGAUUUAUUUGAAUAUGAAAUUUGUUUAUUGAUUUUAAUUUUUAAUAAUUUUGAUUUUGAAGAUUUGAGAAAAUGUGAACGCAAAGAAGGAGACAAGCGCGACAGUGAUUAUUUUGAAAUUCAGGUGCCAUUUAAUAUAAAGUUCUGAUUAUUGUUGUUUGUUGUUUAUGGACUAAUUAAUUGUAGAGUUAUUCAACUCGUUAUUUUUGCUGAUGAAUUGGCCAAUGAGUGUUAAAGAUUUAAUAAUCAUUGUCCGCUAAUUAAUAAGAAUGCAUGGAUUAUUUUCAUGUCUUUGUAAGUAAUGUGAGUAUUUGAAAGUGCGGGAAACUGUAUUUUGUGCUUACAGAUAAAAAUCUGCAAUGGAAAGCUUAUACAAGUAGUUGCAUCAGUAAAAGGGUUCUAUACUUUGGGAAAGCAGUUUUUCCAAAGCAACUCCCUGGUGGAUCUUCUGCAAAAUCUCAGUCGAGCUUUUGCCAAUGUGGGUACUCAAUAGUUGAAUCUACAGAUUAUUUUUUUCUUUUUUAUCUGAAUGCAUCUUUUUUUCCUUUGUAAAUUCAAUUAGCUUACCCUUCAAUUGUUUUGUUAAUAAUUAUGGUCAUUAUGCGUGAUGCAGGCAUAUGAAUCCUUAAUGAAAGCUUUUGUUGAACAUAAUAAGGUUACAAUUUCUGUGCUGACAUAGUUUAUUACCAAUUCAAAUGUGAUUUUAACUUGAUUUUACUGAUAUAGUAUAUUCAUUAUCCUUCUUCAGUUUGGUAAUCUUCCCUAUGGAUUUCGAGCUAAUACAUGGCUUGUACCUCCAUCUGUUGCUGAGUCUCCAUCAAAUUUCCCUUGCCUACCGGCAGAAGAUGAGAAUUGGGGUGGCAAUGGCGGAGGCCAGGGAAGAGAUGGAGAACAUGAUUUACGACCAUGGGCGACGGAAUUUGCUAUACUGGCUAGGCUUCCUUGCAAAACUGAAGAGGAGAGGGUGGUUAGAGAUCGGAAGGCCUUUUUGCUUCAUAACCAAUUUGUUGAUGUCUCAAUUUUUAAAGCUGUUGGAGCAAUACGCCGUCUCAUUGAUUCAAAUUUACACACUCAAGAUACAAUAAAGGGGGCAAUCUUGCAUGAAGAUCGUGUGGGAGACUUGUCCAUUACAGUAAAACGUGAUACAGUAGAUGCAAACUUGAAGUCUGAGGUUACUAUUAAAGGAAAUCAGUUAUCUGGUAUGUCUACUGCAGAAGUUGCUCAAAGGAAUUUACUAAAAGGUGUUACUGCAGAUGAGAGUGUAGUUGUUCACGUAAGUCGAUUUCUCCUUUACUUCUUACGCUUACGUUCACAGACCACACACAUAAAAGACAUUCAUCAAAGCUGAAAUUACUUACGUGGGCGGAAUAAUAUAGCUCCGGAAUAAUAUAGCUCUACCUUUGUCAGGGAGUGAUUUUUCUGUCGGAUUAAGAUGUUUCACUCUUUAUCUGAUAUCUAGCAUUUGAUGAUGGCCUAAAAUACCCAUCCUCUUCAUUCUCUCUUUCUACACAUUUAUGAAUGCACAAGAAAGUCAAUUUUAGUUUCUUUCCUAAGAAUCACUACUUGUUACUAACCUUAUAUAUCUGGUUUAGCUUCAUGAAUCUUUUGUUGCCAUUCUGUUUGGUGACUCCCUAUUCUGUUGAAAUCACUUGAUAGCAGGUCUUUCUACCCAUUAUCCAUAUCCCUCUGAUUUUCUACUUGUAGUUUGCGCCAGCUUAAUGUCAUCAACCCUUUUUGGGGAAGCCUAUUAACCUUGGUUGGGCAUGCUUGUAUUAUAUCAACUAGUGAUACAAUUGCUAAAGUUUUCAGCAUGGUAGAUCUUGAAAUAAAAUUUUCUUGAAAUAUCUAGAUUUAUCUUCCUUUUCUUUUUCUCUUUCUUUUAUUUUAGUUUCAAAGAUUUUGUUAUAAAGAGAACUGAACAAUAUAGUUUUUGGCAGGAUACCUCCUCAUUGGGUACCGUCAUUGUAAGACACUGUGGAUACACCGCCGUAGUAAAGGUUGUUGGUGAUGUGACGGAGAAGUUUGGCACACAAGAUAUUGAAAUUGAAGAUCAACCUGAUGGAGGAGCUAAUUCUCUUAAUAUUAACAGGUCUGAAAUUGUAACACAAUGCUUCCUCUGUCGAUUCCUCUUAGCACACAAAGACUAGGAAAUCUACAGAUGGAGAAUGGCUGUAAGAUAUGAAAAAUUAUCUUUCAACCACUAACCGUUUUAAGCUAUUCUGCAAGAUAUCUUAGAAAUGCUAACUGGUAUGAGCUUCUUUGCUUAGUGUCUAUCACAGUUGAAUUCAUGAUGCAGAGCAUUGUUAUUCUCCUUAUUUUUACCAGAUAGAACAGGAUUGAAACGGUGGUGUUGGGGAUUCUUAAGAAAGGAUAGCACCUGCUCCUUUUUCUUUCUGUUUAGAUGGGAUCUAAUCAGUAGAUGUCUGAACUCUUAAGGGGAUUUGAUGUCAGAUUUCUAAACCAGGUUUUCUUCAAGUGUUAAGUUUAUGAAUAGGCCAAAGAAAAGAAAGCUGAUAUCUAGUUAGGGAUAUGUACUCCUCUUUCAGCAUCCUAUGGACCAGAAAAUGGCUUUUCCUCCAUUAAAAUAUGUGUGAGAUUCUUCACUGUAUGGGGAUGCUUCACCUCUGCAUAGUUGUAGACCACCUAAAAAAUAACGAGUGGUUGCAGGAAACAUUAAGUCAUGGCUUUCACAAUAAUGGUGGAGUGUUUAUAGUUAUGUGCCUUGACAUUGGUUUGUAAUUGUUAUAUUAACAAAAUAACCAACAGACAUCGUUGAUGAUGUUCAAAUAAAGGAUAAAGGAAAGUAUAAUUACAGUGGAUGCUCAGUUGCUGAAAUAGGUCAUCAGCUUUUUGGAUUGUGCUAUUUCAGAAAGUAUUUAGACCUUCUUUGGUGGAUUCUGCCUUUGUUUCAUAUACUCUUAUAUCUUUCUCCAUUUAAGUUGUUCUGACAGGGUAAACUAUUUAUUGCAGCUUAAGGCUUGUACUUCAGAAGUCUUUCAGUGCUGAAUCAGCUAGAGGAGACCAGUCACCUCUGUGCAAUUUGGAUAAUUCAGAAGCUCUUAGAAGUCUUGUACGAAGAGUUAUUAAACAGAGUUUAGCAAAGCUAGAGCUGGAGCCAACUGCGUCAGAAAGAUCUAUUAGAUGGGAACUUGGUUCUUGUUGGGUGCA